AGUGAACGCUGGCGGUAGGCCUAACGCAUGCGAGUCGAACGGCAGCACAGUAAGAGCUUGCUCUUACGGGUGGCGAGUGGCGGACGGGUGAGGAAUACAUCGGAAUCUACUUUUUCGGGGGGGAUAACGUAGGGAAACUUACGCUAAUACCGCAUACGACCUACGGGUGAAAGCAGGGGAUCUUCGGACCUUGCGCGAUUGAAUGAGCCGAUGUCGGAUUAGCUAGUUGGCGGGGUAAAGGCCCACCAAGGCGACGAUCCGUAGCUGGUCUGAGAGGAUGAUCAGCCACACUGGAACUGAGACACGGUCCAGACUCCUACGGGAGGCAGCAGUGGGGAAUAUUGGACAAUGGGCGCAAGCCUGAUCCAGCCAUACCGCGUGGGUGAAGAAGGCCUUCGGGUUGUAAAGCCCUUUUGCUGGGAAAGAAAAGCAGCAGGUUAAUACCCCGCUGUUCUGACGGUACCCAAAGAAUAAGCACCGGCUAACUUCGUG
rnacentral:rRNA from 1 species